rnacentral:rRNA from 1 species
GAUGAACGCUGGCGGCGUGCCUAAUACAUGCAAGUCGAGCGAACAGAUAAGGAGCUUGCUCCUUUGACGUUAGCGGCGGACGGGUGAGUAACACGUGGGUAACCUACCUAUAAGACUGGAAUAACUCCGGGAAACCGGGGCUAAUGCCGGAUAACAUUUAGAACCGCAUGGUUCUAAAGUGAAAGAUGGUUUUGCUAUCACUUAUAGAUGGACCCGCGCCGUAUUAGCUAGUUGGUAAGGUAAAGGCUUACCAAGGCAACGAUACGUAGCCGACCUGAGAGGGUGAUCGGCCACACUGGAACUGAGACACGGCCCAGACUCCUACGGGAGGCAGCAGUAGGGAAUCUUCCGCAAUGGGCGAAAGCCUGACGGAGCAACGCCGCGUGAGUGAUGAAGGUCUUCGGAUCGUAAAACUCUGUUAUUAGGGAAGAACAAAUGUGUAAGUAACUGUGCACGUCUUGACGGUACCUAAUCAGAAAGCCACGGCUAACUACGUG